ACCAGACUCCUACGGGAGGCAGCAGUGAGGAAUAUUGGUCAAUGGGCGGGAGCCUGAACCAGCCAAGUCGCGUGAGGGAAGACGGUCCUACGGAUUGUAAACCUCUUUUGCCGGGGAGCAACGGGGUCCUUGCGAGGGCCCGAUGAGAGUACCCGAAGAAAAAGCAUCGGCUAACUCCGUGCCAGCAGCCGCGGUAAUACGUAUGGUGCAAGCGUUAUCCGGAUUUACUGGGUGUAAAGGGGGCGCAGGCGGCACGGCAAGCCUGAUGUGAAAGCCCGCGGCCCAACCGCGGGACUGCAUUGGGAACUACCGGGCUGGAGUGCCGGAGAGGUAGGCGGAAUUCCUAGUGUAGCGGUGAAAUGCGUAGAUAUUAGGAGGAACACCAGUGGCGAAGGCGGCCUACUGGACGGUGACUGACGCUGAGGCUCGAAAGCGUGGGGAGCAAACAGGAUUAGAUACCCGGGUA
rnacentral:rRNA from 1 species